UUCUGGUUCUCGCACGGAAGUCUCGCGCAUAUUUGGCAGCCAGAGGCGCAACGAAAGCAGAAACGCUGCGACUGGAGCGACAAGAAGGGAACCGACGGCCCUUUGGCUGAGCUGAACUAUUUGGAUUUGGGGUGAAAGAAGCGGCGAUUACUAAAAUGACCAGUGGGUAUCGACAUAUAUUUUGACUGAGGAAACCAGCGUGAGCUUGCACGUGCGAAGAACGC